rnacentral:sRNA from 1 species
GCCGGGCGUGGUGGCGGGCGCCUGUAGUCCCAGCUACUCGGGAGGCUGAGGCAGGAGAAUGGCUUGAACCCGGGAGGCGGAGCUUGCAGUGAGCCGAGAUCCGGCCACUGCACUCCAGCCCGGGCAACACAGCAAGACUCCGUCUCAA